rnacentral:rRNA from 1 species
GAUGAACGCUGGCGGCGUGCCUAAUACAUGCAAGUCGAGCGAACAGACGAGGAGCUUGCUCCUCUGACGUUAGCGGCGGACGGGUGAGUAACACGUGGAUAACCUACCUAUAAGACUGGGAUAACUUCGGGAAACCGGAGCUAAUACCGGAUAAUAUAUUGAACCGCAUGGUUCAAUAGUGAAAGACGGUUUUGCUGUCACUUAUAGAUGGAUCCGCGCCGCAUUAGCUAGUUGGUAAGGUAACGGCUUACCAAGGCAACGAUUCGUAGCCGACCUGAGAGGGUGAGCGGCCACACUGGAACUGAGACACGGUCCAGACUCCUACGGGAGGCAGCAGUAGGGAAUCUUCCGCAAUGGGCGAAAGCCUGACGGAGCAACGCCGCGUGAGUGAUGAAGGUCUUCGGAUCGUAAAACUCUGUUAUUAGGGAAGAACAAAUGUGUAAGUAACUAUGCACGUCUUGACGGUACCUAAUCAGAAAGCCACGGCUAACUACGUG